rnacentral:rRNA from 1 species
GUGGGGGAUAUUGCACAAUGGAGGAAACUCUGAUGCAGCGACGCCGCGUGAGUGAAGAAGUACUUCGGUAUGUAAAGCUCUAUCAGCAGGGAAGAUAAUGACAGUACCUGACUAAGAAGCGCCGGCUAACUACGUGCCAGCAGCCGCGGGAAUACGUAGGGGGCAAGCGUUAUCCGGAUUUACUGGGUGUAAAGGGAGCGUAGACGGAAUGGCAAGUCUGAAGUGAAAUCCGGCGGCUUAACUGCAGAAUUGCGUUGGAAACUGUCAAUCUGGAGUGUUGGAGAGGUAAGCGGAAUUCCUGGUGUAGCGGUGAAAUGCGUAGAUAUCAAGAAGAACACCGGAGGCGAAAGCGGAUUACUGGACAAUAACUGACGUUGAGGCUCGAAAGCGUGGGAAGCAAACAGGAUUAGAUACCCGUGUAGUCC